UUCUUUGUGCCACUUAUUACUCUAUCGAAACCUGCGUUUCGGCCAAAUGGAAGACCUGUCCAAAGCCGCAGUGCCCAACCAGAGGAUGUUUAUUUUGUUGGUUGCGUGGCAGUACUUGUUUCAGAGUCAGUGUACCCGCCAUGGUAUUUUCUAAGGGUGGGCAUUCCAAUUCCAAUCCAAUUCCACGUGGAAUUUGAUUCCACGGAAUCCGCAUAUUCCAAAUGGCGGUUGGAAUGGAAUGCGGAUUUUGCGGAAUCCACGUGGAAUUUUUGGAAUUGUUUUCCUCGUUGGAAUUAGCAAAAAUAACCUUUUUAAAGGCUUUUUUCCAUUAAUUUUAGCGAAUUCGUGUAAAAAACUACAAAGUAAACCUUGCAUAACUUGGCUCUGGGUUCUUAAGUUCCAUUUCCCACACAUCUCAGUGGAUUUGCUUUUACGCUAUAAAAUUGCCAAAGGCUUAACGCAACGGAGAGGUACAGUAACCUUUAUUACUUAAAAUUUAAAUUAAUUAUAAUCGCCACUGCCCAGGCCACGUAAACUCCUAUACUUGCAUACAUAAAGAUUAAACGCUUACGCCUAUGAUUGCUACUCGUUGCGCUAUUUUGAAGCAAAGGCUAACAAAUAAGCAGCGGCUUCGAAGUUCGAACAAUGUACUGGUAGUGCAGCUGUAGCGUUAACUGCUACCAGUAAAAACUAUAAAAAUCAGUCGGCACCCGGCAGCAAUCUGAAACCUAGUACAAGUAUAAACAAUUUGAAAACUAAAACAAGUACCAACUGUACCGUACGUAAAGUUAAAAAUGAACAGCCCUUUUGUUUUAUAAACAUUUAUUACGGUAAUUACCAUUUCUAUUUACCAUUAGUAAUACCAUACCUGCAUGCUGUAUUAUGAUUAUGAUGCAAUAAUAAUAAUUUAAAAGUAAUUUAGAUCUAAAAAAUUUUUUUGUUUGCAGUAUCAACUACUUACUGCAGUAUCAUACUAUGAGAAAAAUCUAUGGCUUAUGACAUACGCCGUAUGUAAUGACACAUCUGCAGAUUUCGAGCCCCGAAGUUCAACUUAUAAGGUAGAAAGCUACUGAAACGAAAGAGGUCGGUUGUAAAAUGAGAAAAUCAACGUCUGCAAUUAAUUAUAACGCUUAAUUAUGCUAAUUCCACUAAUUUAUUGUAAUUCCGCGGAUUGGAGCGCAUUCCAUGGAAUCCAUGGAAUAUCUUGGAUUCCAAAUUUUGGAAUCCGCGUUCCAAUCCAAAAUCCGUUCCAAAGGGACGUUUCCCUUGGAAUGCCCAACCUUAGUAUUUUCCACUGAAUCCAGUCGUGUUUGGCUGUUGCUUUCGCUGCAGAGUGAAUGCAUAUUUUUAUUUUUGAACUCCUGGUUCCACCGUUUUGAGGAUAUUUUUUCGUUUUCGCUUUUCUGGAAUAAGUUAACUGCGAUAUCGCAAACAUGGCUAUCAGGCGAUGGACUGCUUCUGAAAGUCAAGAAGAUCUAAACAAGCCCGUUUGUCGCUCUUGUCGUCCUGUGCGAACCUACAAAGACGUUCGCUUGUUGAAGGACAUUCGGAAAACUUCAGUUUAGUCCGCUGUCUGCGCUGCAACCAUCCCUUCAUGCCAGGAAACCCCCUUUCAACGCACAGUCCGACGAUAAUCGUCUGUAUCCGGCCAGCCUCUUUGGUAUCGCAGAAGAUGAAAGAAACGAUGAAGUUACCCUAACCCAGCCUGCCAUGCAGAAGGCCGUAUCCGGAUGAAAACGUGAAGUUGAUGCCAAGAAAAACGAUAAGUCCCAUCGGAGCGACAAAUGGCCGCACUCCCAAGGCCCUGCGGAAUUCGCAACACGAGAAUCCGAUUCUUGACGAUAUCGUCCCUACCACAGAUGAUGCAGCCCUGCUCAAAAGUAAGAAAGAAGGCAAUGGACAGGAACUGCUGUCACGACGGCAUCGUCAAACCGCGCACACGAAAUCGUUGGACUGAAAAGCAGAAGAAACUGCGCGCGGUCGGCAGUAACCAGCAACAGCCACCAUCGGGAAUUAUGCAUAUUGAGCAUCCAAAUUGCAGUGGAGCGACAAAGGUGUAUUUCGACGGGCUUGGAUACAACGUGGCAAGCGGUGUACGGCUGUAGCGACGAUGAAUGCCCGGAAGAUGAAAGCCUUACAUUUUCGAUUACAUUUUCGACAAUAUUGUCAGACUUUUCUGGUUUGGUUGGUGAAGAAUUUUUUUUUGAAUUUCAUUAGCAGCGCCAGUGGCUAGUAA